UUGAAGCUGCACAUGUAUCCUGUUUCUGCAAGUAUCUACGCAGGGAUGAUCUUGAUCAAAAGAAUCCAAAGACCAUCGGGGUGCUAGGUCCCUUUCAGAUCUUUCUCCCUUCAAAUCAAUCUGAUUUCUUCUUCUUUUCUUCUCAAGAACCAAGGAAGAAGAUAAUGAAUGAGUGGAAGGAAGAGGGCUUCCCUCUUAGGUGGCACCAAGAAGGAGGAGAGGAGGGUGGGCAACAAAGAGAGAGGAGAGAUGGAUCUAUUGUUAGUUUGGGCAUCCUCUCAACUUGAUCCUAUUUACAGACUCCAAUCCCUUAUCCAUCUAUCCUAUUAAUUCGAUUCAAAUUCAAAUUUCAAAGAUUUGAAUCAAAUUCAAAUUUUGAGAUAGAUUAGGAUAGAAAGAUAAGAGAAAAAAAGGAGAGAGAAUCUUUGGGAUGUGCAUCCCAAUCUUGGAUCGCGCAUCCCACCCUAGGUCGCAUGUCUCUGAAAGAAUAAUACCCUAUAAGCCAAUCGCAUGUGUGAUGCGAUCAGAUAUUUUCUGUAUUUUAUCUUUCAAACUCAUAUAUUUGACAUUAAUUAUUAAUUAAAUUAGAUAUUUUAUUUCAUUAUAUGCUAUAUCUUAAUAUUUGUUUAAGAUUAUAAUGAACCCCAUAGAUUAGGACAAUGGUUUAGGAUCAUGAUGAGAUCAUGUUAGUGAGAUCUGAAUCCUCGAUAGCCUUAAUAUAGAAUACUCCUAGCCAUAGGAUCAUUGAGUCGGAAUCAAUGACAC
rnacentral:lncRNA from 1 species